GGAUUUGUUUCUUUUUUUAAUUCAAAGUGAGACUCAAAAUUGGCAUCAACUAACUCUAUCAACUCCAUGUGCAUAAUUUAUCAUUAUAACUCUUGUUAAUUUUGUUCCGUGUGGAUUGAAAUUUACUGAACUCAUCAUCAUCAUAACAACUUUUGUUUCUAUAAAGGGAAAAAAGGGUGUCAUUUAUAUAUACUAACACAUACACAAAAGAUAUAUUGCAUGCAUAAGAAAAAAAAUAUUGAACUACAAGAAUUAUGCAGCACUUAAUUGUUGACUCUUCUGAAUCAGCACCGAUUUGAAAUGACAAUAUAUGAUAAAAAAUUGUAACAGUCUGGCCAUUGCCCAGAUUAGAUUCGACACUCUAUUGGCCUGGUUUGGGCUGAUUUGGACACUUUAUGGGGCCAGGCCCAUAAUGGAUUGGGCACCUUCUAUGGGCCUGGCCCAGAUAGAUUGGACACUAUGGGCCUGGCCAAGACUGGAUUGGACAUUUCUAUAUGGGCCAGGCCCAAACUAGAUUUUGACAUUUCUCUAUGGGCCUGGCCCAGACUAGAUUUGGACAUUUCUCUAUGGGCCUGGUCCAGACUAGAUUUGGACAUUUCUCUAUGGGCCUGGUCCAGACUAGAUUUGGACAUUUCUCUGUGGGCCGCUUGUGUCCCCGGCCUCGGUGUAUGUAGACUGUGAGAGGUACUGUAUGACUGUGUUCCUGUUAAGUAUCAGUUGUGAUAUUGUUGAGAAUUAGUAUGACGCUGUCAAGUAUGUAGAAAAUAAAGUCUAAUAUAAAUGC
rnacentral:sRNA from 1 species